CGAUACAUCAAUAGGGUGUGUUCUUCUGGCGCGAAAUCCGCGAAAUAUUGGAAACACUCUGCUAAAAGCGAACACCUGCGUUUUGUUACGAGAACUUGAAACUCCGAGCCCAAAGGGCAUCGUAUUGAUUCGAGGCUAAAGAAGGCCUUGAAAUAUGACAGCAUUUUUGUUGUAUGAUCCAGUGCGCCAUUCGACGCUCAACCGAAGUUAAUCAGAGCUCAAACUCAAUCCUUAACAAUAUCAGUGAGGCCAGCGUGUCAUCUCAGCUUGUUGAGCUUCAGCAAACAUGAGCCAACAAGACAAACAUUAUUGUACAAUCCCGACCCCCUUUUGCAAAAAUAUUACAACUCUCUCAAGAAAUUCAGCACGAAAUCCUCUUGUGUCAGCCUUACAUGCUUCCUAUCAAGAUAUUUUCCCAUGUUUGCUUCAUCAACACUUCCAACAGCGGAUCCUUGGUAAUUUAGACUUCCGUUCCAGCGUGGAUGGGGCUUAGCAAUAAAUUGAUGCUGGGCAACGGCAAAUUGUUCGGGGCGAGUCGCUCGAACGGAAACGAUCUAACCCAACAGAUAGCUUAUAGUGAUGUGUCCAUUAAUGUGACUGACCUCGAUAUGUUGCUUUUAAAUAAUGCGAACCUUACACCAGAAGAACAGUCUGCGAGCAAUUAAGGCCAUUUAACAACCGUUGUUGUCUGGAAUUCACGGCUUUGGGUUGACGAAUUUGGCGUCAGGACUUGCUCUAUCUCUGUCUACGGCAGCAGCAGCAGAAACAACAAAAAAACAGAGCCAGUUCUUACAGAACUCUAUUCAAUCAUAGAUUGGUAACCAGCUGUACAACAGGCUCUCUUGCCAGCUGGGCCCAGACACCCAGGGACACUUCCUUCGCAUGGGUGGUGGUGGGCGGCUCUCGGCGAAGGACUUUUGGGCAGUUCAACGUGUCCUACUCGCAGAGUGCAGCCAAUCUAAACAUGGGGCUCCACAUUUUCCUGGUCAAGAUUACCUUAUCCAAAUAGUAGAUUGGUAGUGUAAUUUACUUUGUAUUAUGUGCAGUUGUUUUACUCCAAAUUUCAAUUCAAAUAGUUUGUGUGUGUUAUAUAUUGAUAAUACUCUCUCAUGGGUGCUAACUUAAAAAAUCAUCAGGUAAUCGUAAAUAUUUGUAUUGUUUUGUAUUGCCUUGAAAGUGUGUAAGGGGGGGGCUUUAAGAUUUAUCCUUGUCAGUAAUUCUAUCUGUCCUUGCUUCCAUCAUUCCCUAUGUCCAACCCACCUUUUUGUUGUUGAACUGCACUUAAUAAAUAUUGGUUUCAGAGGGAUGAAACAUGUCAGAAUCAAGUGUAUAGUAUAUAGAUGGCUAUGUUUGUAUCAAGUCUUUGGUGUAUAUCCCAUUUGUAUCAAAAGCCUACAAACAUGAUGUAUUUCUUAUAAAUGUUUUACUUAAACAACAUUGAUUGACUUCCAAUAUAACUGAUACAAUAUCAGAAUGUUUUGAAUAAUUUGGUUUACAUGGGACACAUUUAUGGAAUGCGCUAAGAUUUUUUAAUCUGUUCGCAGAAGCCUUAUCCUCAAAAGUUCAGGUCCAAAGAAAGAUGGUGACCAACUGCAACUCAGCCACUUCAUCUCAAUAGGACAACAUGCCAGUGAACAAGGCACCCUUCCUAAACCCUCGCAGCCUGCGCUAAACGGGAACCUUAAUAUACAUGAGAUUCCAUGCGGAAUGUAAAAUCUGUACCACUCUGAUCUCCAGUAGCAGCCCCAGCCGUGGGAGGCCGAUUCAUGAUGCACCUAUGGCCUUAAUUAUCUCUGAACAUCCCAACCUCACAUGACCUGUAGGGCGGGGAUGUAUAUAAAUGAUCAUUAAAUCCCACAAACCAAGGAGAGGUUAUAUUGGAGUCAAUUUUAUUGGUUCGUGUUCAGUGUCAAGCAGUAUCCUAGCAAUCAAGUCAAGUCAGCGCAGCAGCAACAACAGAUGCAGCAGCAGUCGUACGCAAUACAUCAACAACACUGGUGCAUAUGCAUUAAACUAUAAAGAAGAAAACCGGAUAACAAAGCGUUGAUUUUGUUCUCGAUGCAUUAGCAGUCACAGUACAUGAACCGACAGUAGUCAUCGUCUCGAGAUUCUGGCCUCUGAACCAUCAGUCUAUGAACAUAAUGCAGAGCAAUCUAGGGAAGCCAAUUGACGAAAUCAAACUGACCAAUCAGCAACAAAGCCUGUUGCAGCAGUUGUUACCAUAUUGACCCCAGUCAAAUCAUGGAAGCUUAAUUAGACAUAAAUACUGUUUAAGAUGUGCCAGUCUCUACAGACCUCGUGGUCUGUUAAGCACUUACUCUGACAGGUCUCAUCUCUGGAUUUUGUGACGGGUGGAAAAUGAAUAACCUUGUUCAUAUUGAAAUGGCAGAAUGAAAAAGCACAACAACUCACGCGAAAAGCCAUAUAUUAAUUUGCCAGUCAUGGUUUAUUGGAAGAAAAACAAUCUGUCAUGUAUUAUGGAAACUCUGAUGCUGUGAGUCAUUAACAAUUGAUGAGAUGUGUUAAAUGUAGUUAAGUGUAAUGAGAUUAAGGUAACUUGAUAAAGGCGUGUAUGUUAAGUAUUAUUUUAAGCACACAUAUUGCACGUCUAUAUAAUUAUUUGUAUUACGAAACUUGCAUCUGAUAACGUUAUAUGCAUGGAAAAUAAAUUUUACUUCAGACAUUCUUUCAUACAUUGAGCUUGUGAUAAUUCAAAGCUGUUUAAAUGGUGCUGGUAACUUGGACGCAAUCACAAAAUAUGUAUUGGAUUCGGUUCAUGUAACUUGUAAUGCUGGUAACUUGGACGCAAUCACAAAAUAUGUAUUGGAUUCUGUUCAUGUAAUAAGCAUGUUUCAGUUUUCUGUUUUUACAUGCAAUAUAGAAAUGCUAGCUAAAAUAACUGUGCAGAAAGGUUGAGAGUUUGAGGCUUCCUAUUUGAUCUGUCUGUCUUUUUCUAUACAAUAAUCUUAUUAAGUUUGCUCAUUUGGGUCCGUAUUUUAUCAAGAAUCUUGUUAAGUAUGGCAGUAUUUGAAAUGAAUAUAAAUUGAAUGUAGACAACAUUAUUUAAUCUUUCAAUUGUCAGUUCUGUAUUUACUUCUUUAACUUUAUUGAUUUGAAUGGAGAUUGUUUGUUAAAUUAUAAGAUAAUUACUUGUUCUUUAUUUGGAAUGCUUUAAUUGUUUUGAAACUGAGUAUUUAAAAAUAAAUUUAUUAAAUAAUUAUGAUAAGGUUCAUGAAUAAAAGCCAAAGUCGUGAUUGUUAUUGUCUAUUUUUUGUUGUUAUAUACAUUAUUUACAUGCUCAUAAAUGUUGACAAUUGUGUUCGGACAUAAUAUAUGUUUUAUGUCUUACAUUUGUGUAUAUACACAUUUUGAAGACCGGAUUUUCAUGCUCUCAAUUCAUUUACCGGUAGUAACUUUACCAAAAAUAAAUGUUUAUCACUGUAUGAUGGUAAAUUUUGCAACUGAUAUAUAGAGCAACUUUAAAAUAAUUGUAUGUUCGAUGUAAAUAACUCAUAUAUUGUUUCCAUUUUGAUGAGAUAAACUCUAUGUUUUCACUCCUUUGUACACAUCCUUUGUAAACGGUACAUCUUGUAGAUUUUUGGUAACCCAAACAAUUUAGCCCCUGUUAAACAUUUAUACAGGAUAACAGAUUCUGAAAUUUAGCAAUAGGAACAGGUUGUUAGAUGCAAUGCUAUUUAGUUUUCAAAGUUUACCAAGUAUUUAAAACAUUUGCUUAAUUAUGUUUUACAUUCUAAAGAAUAAUUGAUAUCUCAAAACGUAAAUCACUAAAUUACAAAUCAAGGGAGAGUUAUGUAAUAUGCUUGCAAUUGCUAAGAAGUGCAGUUGUUGUUUGUUUUUUUUCCGGUUAAAGCAAUGUCAUUUGCUUAAAAAAGUUGUCUCCCUUGUAAGAAAAUUAAUGUGUUCACAUCUCAACAUAACAAGUAAAUUCAUACAGUACAUGUAUUUAAAAUUAUUCACAUGAUAUUCACCAAUAAGUCUAAUGGAAUUUGUAGAAUAAAAUAUAACAUGUUAUUAUGACGAUUAUAAGUGAAUGUUUGGCACAAAAUGCCUCUUAAUCUCUAUAUUUACAACUUCAGCAAAUGUCUAAGACCAGAUUCCUAAAUGGUGUGGUUGUUGACAUUAAUAUUAAAUUUAGUUCAUGAACCAUAAAUGUUUUGUUGUUGAACAUAUAAAAAAAGCUUUAUGUAUAUUAAUUUUAUGUCAUAUUUCAAACAUAUCAUAUUGAUACGAUUGACAGAAAAUAAACAUUUUGCUUUAAUGUGUAUACAUGAAGUGUAUACAUGAGUAACGAUUGGUACCAUUCAAGCAUGUUAAUAAUGAACUAUAGUUGUAGUACUAGAUGCAUUUUUAGCUCAUCUAUUUUUUGGAGAAAAAAAAAUGAGCUAUUGUCAUCACCUUGGCAUCGGCGUCCGGUUAUGUUUUGUGUUUAGGUCCACUUUUCUCAGAAAGUAUCAAAGCUAUUGCAUUCACACUUGGUACACUUACUUACUAUCAUGAGGGGACAGAACAGGCAAAGUGAGAUAACUCUGGUGUGCAUUUUUACAGAAUUAUGUGCCCUUUUUAUACUUAGAAAAUUUAAAAUUUGGUUAAGUUUUGUGUUUAGGUCCAUUAUAUUUGUUAAGUAUCAAAGCUAUUGCUUUCAUACUUGCAACACUUACUAACUAUUAUAAGGGGACUGUGCAGGCAAAGUUAUGUAACUCUGACUGGCAUUUUGACAGAAUUAUGUGCCCUUUUUAUACUUAGAAAAUUGAAAAUUUGGUUAAGUUUUGUGUUUAGGUCUACUUUAUUCCUAAAGUAUCAAAGCUAUUGCUUUCAUACUUGCAACACUUACUAACUAUGUCAAGGGGACUGUGCAGGCAAAGUUGCAUCACUCUAGUUGUCAUUUUGACGGAAUUAUGGCCCUUUUUUGACUUAGUAACUUUGAAUAUAUGGUUAUAUUUUGUGUUUCGAUCCACUUUACUUCCAAAGUAUCAAGCUUUGUAUUGCUUUCAAACUUCAAAUACUUUCAUGCUAUCAUGCGGGUACUGUACCUGGCAAGUUGAAUUUUACCUUGACCUUUAAUUGACUAUCAAGGUCAAAUUAUUAAAUUUUGCUAAAAUUACCAUAACUUCUUUAGUUAUGAUUUUAUUUAAUUGAUACUUUGACAUAAGAACUCUUUCCUGACAUACCAAAAAAGACUCUACCCAAACCAUUCCCAAAGCCCCCCCCCCCCCCCUCCAACCCCAGAAUCCAGAAUCCCCCAUCCAAUUUUUUUUGUUUUUCAUUCUUUUUUAAAGAUCAUCUCAUAAAUAAAACCAUCACACUAUACCCUCCACCGCCCCCCCCCCAAUUUUUUUUUAUUUGUUAAAAACAACACACAAAAAAUAUUUUAUUUUUGAAAUACCGUCCAACCAUCCCACUCAAGAAUACCCCCCCCCCCCCCUAAAAAAAAAACAACAACAAAUUGUUUGUUUUCUUAUUUUUUGAAGAUAAUGUAAUAAAUGACCACACCCCCACAAUAUACACCCCUCUCCACUCCACCCCUCCCUCCUUUGUGAUUGAAGUAUUGAGAGUCCCUUCACCUUUAAAAGAAAAAUUGAUGAGCGGUCUGCACCCGCAAGGCGGUGCUCUUGUUUUGAUCAUGUCUUAAUUUGUUCGUCUACUCCAAAUAAACAUGUUGCAUUUGUAAAUAAAGCGUGUAUAACCUCUUUGUACUGUCCCAAGGUCUGUUUUCAAAUACUUGAGUACCUCAUAUUGAGCAGAGACUUACCAAUUUAUGGCAUUAUUUGUUAUGCACAUGUCUGACUUAUAUAAAUAUCUUCAAGUUCUGAGAUUACUGUUCAGGGUAUUUUAAAGGUAAAAGUUUAAAUAUUUCUAUAGACUGUAAC